AUCUCCCUCCCUCCAUCAUCCAUCCUCCCAUGAACCCCACGCAAAAUUAGAUCUGGUGCGGUUGGCAGGGAAGGGUUUCUGGGAAAGAAUGAAAAUCAUCCCAUGAAAUAAUAGAUCUGGUGCGGUGGGCAGAAAAAAAGGGGGUUUCUGGGAAAGAAGGUCGGAAGAGCAGCGCGAGAGGUGAACCGACGAAGAGGUGCAAGUGCGAACUCGAAAUCGCUUGUCUGGGGUGUGCUUCCUUGAUUCAACAUAUUAACCAUAUCUGUUUCACUUUUUUGCCAUCGCAACCUCGGAUCGGUCGUCUUCUUCACCUCCUGCAGCCGCAAGGAGAGACAGUCGUCUACUUUUUUUUUUUUUUGAAUCGGGGAGAUGGCUUGGCUCGAGUUUAGAUGUUUAGAUCUAAACCUGACGACAUGCAUGGCUCUACUCGACACAUCGGAUCUGUCGAAACGGGCGCUCCUUGUCUCGAUGAGACGAGACCCGGGGACUGGUUCCCAGGAGGCGUUGCAGGGUGGCGGCGGCUGCUUGGCGUUAAAUCCAACCCACCCUUCACAUAAAUUGUAGAUCUGGUGUUUCUGGGGAAGACGGUCGGAGAGCAGCGCGAGAGGAGCAACCGCAAACUCGAAAUCGCUUGCUGGGAUGGGGACUCUGCUUGAACGUUCAAAGAACGGUGCCAGAAGAA